AUUGAACGCUGGCGGCAGGCCUAACACAUGCAAGUCGAGCGAGUGGCGGACGGGUGAGUAAUGUAUGGGGAUCUGCCCGAUAGAGGGGGAUAACUACUGGAAACGGUAGCUAAUACCGCAUACCAUCGGAUGUACCCAUAUGGGAUUAGCUAGUUGGUGGGGUAAAGGCUCACCUAGACGACGAUCCCUAGCUGGUCUUAGAGGAUGACCAGCCACACGGGAACUGAGACACGGCCCAGACUCCUACGGGAGGAAGCAGUGGGGAAUAUUGAACAAGGGGCGCAAGCCUGAUGCAGCCAUGCCGCGUGUAUGAAGAAGGACUUAGGGUUGUAAAGUACUUUCAGCGGGGAGGCGGUACCCGCAGAAGAAGCACCGGCUAACUCCGUGCCAGCAGCCGCGGUAAUAC
rnacentral:rRNA from 1 species